rnacentral:rRNA from 1 species
UACGUAGGGUGCAAGCGUUGUCCGGAAUUAUUGGGCGUAAAGAGCUCGUAGGCGGUCUGUCGCGUCUGCUGUGAAAACUCGGGGCUCAACCCCGGGCCUGCAGUGGGUACGGGCAGACUAGAGUGCGGUAGGGGAGACUGGAAUUCCUGGUGUAGCGGUGAAAUGCGCAGAUAUCAGGAGGAACACCGGUGGCGAAGGCGGGUCUCUGGUCCUUGACUGACGCUGAGGCGCGAGAGCGUGGGGAGCAAACAGG